rnacentral:tRNA from 1 species
GGCUGGUUAGCUCAGUUGAGCAUAGUGCUGAUAACACCAAGGUCAUGGGUUCAAUUCCCAUUCAGUUC